rnacentral:rRNA from 1 species
AUACGGAGGGAGCGAGCGUUAAUCGGAAUUACUGGGCGUAAAGCGCGCGUAGGCGGCUUUGUAAGUCGGAUGUGAAAGCCCUGGGCUUAACCUGGGAAUGGCAUUCGAUACUGCAGAGCUAGAGUAUGGUAGAGGGAAGUGGAAUUUCCGGUGUAGCGGUGAAAUGCGUAGAUAUCGGAAGGAACACCAGUGGCGAAGGCGACUUCCUGGGCCAAUACUGACGCUGAGGUGCGAAAGCGUGGGGAGCAAACAGGAUUAGAUACCCGGGUAGUCC